rnacentral:tRNA from 1 species
GGAGAUAUAGCUCAGUUGGUGAGAGCGCGGGAUUCAUAACCCCGAGGUCGGUGGUUCAACUCCACCUAUCUCCACCA